GCUGCCACUGAGGUCACAGAGUUAGUAACCCAAGGCAGAGCCAGUACGUGGCAGGGCUGGUUUUAAAUUGAGUCAGGCUGGCUCUGGGCUGCUGAUUACAUUUCCCUUUUCACUUUGGCCACUAGGAAGCUUAGAUCCACACAUACGCCCACUUCCUGGCUCUUGGUUUUUCCUUGUCCUUGUUUGGUGGCCCUUUCACCUUUUCUUUUAUGUUUUUGCUGCUUGCGAUGUUGAAUACACCUCGUGAGUUUUCCCUCAAAUGCAGUUUGGAACAGGAUGGCUCUGGAUGGGCUGAUGGAUGAUUUCUCCUCCCCUUUGUGUUCUGGCCUUUCUAGGAGGGUGAGGACAAAAUCUUCUUAAUCAACAAGCUUCACUCCAUCUACGAGAGGAAGGAGAGGGAGGAGAGGAGCAGGGUUGGGACAACCGAGGAGGCUGCGGCACCCCCUGCCCUGCUCACAGAUGAACAGGAUGCCUAGGGGGACGGCGAUGGGCCUCACGGGCCCGCCCAGCACCCUGAGACCACACUGUUGCCUCCCAGUGACCCUGCUGGGACACCAGGACAAGGAAGACAGUUUCGCCUCUCGAAAGCCGCAGCUGCGCCUAGGCUGGAGCUGGAAGGGUGGGUGAAUCCGGCUUGGGCAUCCCCAAUGAACUCUGCCCUGCCUGGGACUCUAUUUAUUCUGAUUAAAGGGGUUUUGCAAA
rnacentral:lncRNA from 10 species